CGAAUCCUGAUGUGUUUGUUUAUCUGCUGAUUCUACUUAACAGUUUUGACCGAACAUUAUAGAAUUGGGAGCCUUCAUUUUGUAGUCGCAAACAUGCCCUAACAAGGAGCGGGACGUUUAAAACUGCAAAGCGGGCACCCCCCUGCGACUUGCGGGUUCAAAACGAAUGUUUCUUGGCAUUGCUGCACAAUCGGGAUUCGU
rnacentral:other from 1 species